rnacentral:rRNA from 1 species
UACGUAGGGUGCAAGCGUUGUCCGGAAUUAUUGGGCGUAAAGAGCUCGUAGGCGGUUUGUCGCGUCUGCUGUGAAAACUCGGGGCUUAACCCCGGGCCUGCAGUGGGUACGGGCAGACUAGAGUGCGGUAGGGGAGAAUGGAAUUCCCGGUGUAGCGGUGAAAUGCGCAGAUAUCGGGAGGAACACCGGUGGCGAAGGCGGUUCUCUGGGCCUUACCUGACGCUGAGGAGCGAAAGCGUGGGGAGCGAACAGG